GACGAACGCUGGCGGCGUGCCUAAUACAUGCAAGUCGAGCGGAGCAGGAAGCGAGCGUAAGCAAGCAGAGAGCUUAGCGGCGAACGGGUGAGUAACACGUAGGUAACCUAGCGAUAAGACAGGGAUAACUUUCGGAAACGGGAGCUAAUACCAGAUAGUCUUUUCCUUCGCAUGAGGGAAAAGGGAAAGGCGGAGCAAUCUGCCGCUUAUGGAUGGACCUGCGGCGCAUUAGCUAGUUGGAGAGGUAACGGCUGACCAAGGCGACGAUGCGUAUCCGACCUGAGAGGGUGAGCGGACACACUGGGACUGAGACACGGCCCAGACUCCUGCGGGAGGCAGCAGUAGGGAAUCUUCCGCAAUGGACGAGAGUCUGACGGAGCAAGGCGGCAUGAGUGAAGAAGGUUUUCGGAUCGUAAAGCUCAGUUGCUAGGGAAGAAAACUAUGGAGAGUAACUGCUCGAUAGAAGACGGUACCUAAGAAGAAAGCCCCGGCUAACUACGUGCCAGCAGCCGCCGUAA
rnacentral:rRNA from 1 species